rnacentral:lncRNA from 1 species
GGCUUUGCAUUAAGUGCCCUUAAUCAGAUUUUCAGUUCAGUUUUAUUGGUUGCCGACACAGUCAGAUAUUUCACCCAGAAAAUCUGAGGGCCCUACAAAGCUAACCAGGUGAAGAACUCCUGCAGCUAUUUGCAAUGGAAAAGAGCAUGGAACAUGCAUGACAGUAAGUUGCUGCUAAUGCCCAUUUGACAGAAGGAAUUUUUC